GGGGAAAAGCUCAAAUUUUAAAUCGGCGUAGGUUUACCUAGUCGAGUUGUAAUUUGAAGAAGCGUUUUCCACAUCCGGGUCGGCCCAAAUCCUUUGGGAUAAGGUAUCAUGGAGGGUGAGAAUCCCGUCCGGUUAACCUCAGGAUGUUUUACGAUACGCUCUCUAA
rnacentral:rRNA from 1 species